rnacentral:rRNA from 1 species
GGGCCCGCACAAGCGGUGGAGUAUGUGGUUUAAUUCGAUGCAACGCGAAGAACCUUACCAGGGUUUGACAUCCUGCGAAUCUCUUGGAAACGAGAGAGUGCCUUCGGGAACGCAGUGACAGGUGGUGCAUGGCUGUCGUCAGCUCGUGUCGUGAGAUGUUGGGUUAAGUCCCGCAACGAGCGCAACCCACGUCUUUAGUUGCCAGCAUUUAGUUGGGCACUCUAGAGAGACUGUCGGUGAUAAACCGGAGAAGUGGGGACGACGUCAAGUCAUCAUGGCCCUUACGAGUAGGGCUACGACACGUGCUACAAUGGCGCAUACAGAGGGCAGCCAACUUGCGAGAGUGAG